UUGUCCCUGCAGUGUUCGAGAUUUGACCAUACAUUCCUUGAACCAAUGCUUAGGCAUACAGGUUGCCGGAUUGACAAGCGGGUGUGAACACCUUAACUGGUGAUCCCAAAACUUGGCUGAUGGCGACCACCGUGAACCCUCGGUUCCGGGAUGCCGGUCUAUACGGCACAGGCGGGGCAUUU
rnacentral:other from 1 species